GUAUUCCCGUUCCCCUCCCUCUCUUCUCCAAAAUCAGCCCCCCCUCUCCUCUCCAAUUUUUCCGGCGAACGCCAAAGGUGGCGACGCCCCACCCCCUCUAUCCAGUCACCUUUCUCUCUUCUCUAAAGGAAUUCACCGCCUCUCUUCUCCCCGGCGACCCCCUUUCUUCUCUCCUCUUCUCCCUCUCGUUUUGCUCUUCUCCUUUCCCCUCUCUCCUCCGUCUUUCUCCCCUUCCCGUCUUUCUCCCUUUCCCGUCUUUCUCCCUUUCCCGUCUCUUCUCUUCCCCUUUCUCUUCUUCUUUUUUUUUGCAGGCACCAGCAGCCCGCGCAGCAGCAACGCCUGGAGAGGCGCACGACAGCAGCAGCGGACAGCAGCCACCAGUCGCCCAGAGCUAGCAGCCGCUGGCAGCCGUCGCUCCUCCUCCCUUCUCUCUCCCCGCCUGAACUCCCUCUCCUUCUUUCUCCACUCUGUUCCCUUCUUGUCCACUCUCUUCUUCCCCUUUUCUCUUCCUCUUUUGCAGGUACCAGCAACUCCUAUGGUGAGGACAACUCCAGCAGCACUAGGAGAGGCCACCGGCAAAGGAAAUGACAGCAACAUCAGCGGCUAGUAGCAGCACCAGGCGAGUUCCUGCAAGAAACGGACAUCGAAUUCUAGAAAAUAGUGUUGAAGCUUUUGAGUUUAUUAAGACGGAUCUUGACAGAUCCGUCCAGGUUUUAAACUUAUAGAUCAAGAUGUUGAAGAUUUGCCUAGAAGAAAUUGUGGAGGAAGCCUCAUUCAUUUUAUUGUUAUAUAUCUUUAUUCGUUCUUUAUUUUUACUUGUAAUGUUUGUAUAACUCGUCAACUCUAUAUAUGUGAAAUAAACUAAUUUGGUAUUAAUAUUAAUUAAUUGUCGUUCCGCA